CAACAAUUCUGCGGCAAAAGAGAGGGGGGGGGAGAGAGAGAGAGAGAGAGAACAAAGACGCAGUCGCGCACGAUCUCCAGACUAGAGAAGAACUGCCGGGCCACGAUCUCAACACAGACAGAUGCACAAGACGACGUGGGAGAAAAUCGGUGUACAAAUGGAUGCAUCAGGACUCAUCCCUCUUCCAAUUUACAGUUCAUACGAAAAUAGGAAACACAGCAAGAAAGAAGAGCAGAGCACAAUCAAACCCAGGAGGAGGAGAAAGAGAAAGAAACAAAUCGGGUGACGGUUUGCAGACUUGCUAAUUGCCAUUGGGUCAUUUCAGAUUUUGGGUUUUGUUUUGCUCAAGUAGAAGACGAAUCCACUCUUGCAAACUUGAUAAUUCCCAUUGGAUCAGCAUUAGCAAGUUUUUUGUACUUGGUUGAUGCAACAUGUGAGAUCUUGCUUAUGCUUCUCUCCAGUUGAUGGUGUCUCAUAAAACGAAAGUAAAGUGAAUGACAAGAUUAGAGAGACGAAGGAACCAAGAAAUUGAAGACAAAAAGGAAGAGCAUAAACUGACAUGGUGAUGAAUCAAGCUCCCAUUCUUCUUCUUUCUUCCUGUUUGUUUGUUUUUUUUUUUUAUUGGUUUUUUUAAUUAGGCUCUUUGGCUUAGGUUUUUUGUUGGAUUUAGUAAGAUAGACCACUAAGAAGGGAAGUUGUCUAGACAACUGUGCUCAAUUAUGGUCAGAUGGCAUGCAAACUGUGUUCUUUUUAUUGCUGAAUUCUCAUAUAGCAAUUACAAUUACCAAAAUCAUGCAAUACCAUAUGAAUCUUAUAAUCUGUAAUAUCAUAUCCAUUUGUUUGGUGAAUCUCUAAUAGAUGUUGGGUGUUGUUAUUGUACUAACUGUGUUUGUAAGUUCCUGCCUUCUGUGUAUUAAAAUUCUUCUUUUAAAUAUAUUUACUUUUGGUUUGUGUGGAAAGACAACUCAUAGGGGUAGAACUGAAAGCAGAUCGAUAAGGACCUGUUGAUCCAUA